GAUGAGCGCUGGCGGCGUGCCUAAUACAUGCAAGUCGAGCGAACGGACGAGAAGCUUGCUUCUCUGAUGUUAGCGGCGGACGGGUGAGUAACACGUGGAUAACCUACCUAUAAGACUGGGAUAACUUCGGGAAACCGGAGCUAAUACCGGAUAAUAUUUUGAACCGCAUGGUUCAAAAGUGAAAGACGGUCUUGCUGUCACUUAUAGAUGGAUCCGCGCUGCAUUAGCUAGUUGGUAAGGUAACGGCUUACCAAGGCAACGAUGCAUAGCCGACCUGAGAGGGUGAUCGGCCACACUGGAACUGAGACACGGUCCAGACUCCUACGGGAGGCAGCAGUAGGGAAUCUUCCGCAAUGGGCGAAAGCCUGACGGAGCAACGCCGCGUGAGUGAUGAAGGGCUUCGGAUCGUAAAACUCUGUUAUUAGGGAAGAACAUAUGUGUAAGUAACUGUGCACAUCUUGACGGUACCUAAUCAGAAAGCCACGGCUAACUACGUGC
rnacentral:rRNA from 1 species